GGGCCCGUAGCUCAGCCUGGUUAGAGCACUCGGCUGAUAACCGAGAGAAAAGAGCCGGGAAUGGUCCGGGGUUCG
rnacentral:tRNA from 1 species